CAGAAGAUAAGCAAAUGAGUGAACGUGUUAUAUGUUUUAAGCUCAGAUAAUAAUUUUUUGGUGCAUAUGAUAUAUCUUUAUGAUUUCCUUCUUUAAUCAACUUUUUCAUGUAACCAACCAGUUCCAAAGAAGUGGGCUUCUACUGUAGAAAAUAGAGCUAUCACCAAUAUAUCAGAAAGUUUCAGUUUGGAGGAAUUGGCAAUAAAUGUGUUCUGUGUAAUGAAUCAUAUUUCCCCGAAAACUUCUAAUCUAAUUUUGGUAUUUGUUUUAUUUUUUUAAGUAUCCCAAUAUACUUGAUUAUUUGAUAUAUUUGGUCCUGAGUGUUCUUGUAGCCGAAGAUUUAUUUUCAUCGCCAACCCUGUGUUUGCUCCUCUCCCUCGUUUAAAGCCACUACUAAUUGUGUUAAAUAGAAUCCCAGCUUCCUGAUCAUGGCAGAAGUAGUGGUGCCCCUUGCAGAUAAGGGAAGUGAGCUUCAGAAAGACUGAGUGACUUGCCUGAAGCCUG
rnacentral:lncRNA from 1 species